rnacentral:lncRNA from 1 species
GCAUAACUUUAGAAACGUGUCCGAGUAUAUUCUAUGCAACUCUCGAAAACUCUGUGGAUCUCCUUUGAGCAUAUCAUGUACAAAAUUGUAUUCAAUCCUAGUAAUUGGUCAUCGCUUCAGAAAAGGUUCAAUACGUCGAGGCAUCACAAUAAUAUUUCCUAAUAAAAUAAUCAUUGCUUCAAUCGCAGACAUUAAGAACUUCACAUUUUCAUAUAGUUCCAUCUCUAUAUCUUCUUCUAUUUCUUCUUACAAUAUAUCAUGCAUUUUCAUGAUGCAUAUAAAAUCAAAUGAAUUCUCCAUAUUAAAUAUUCCCAAUUUAAUUUGAGUUCCAAAAUGCUCUCAUCUUAUAGUCAGAACCGAAACAAAUACGCAAGAAAGAAACAUCCACAUUUUUAGUUGCUCAAAUGUAAGUAUCUAGAUUUUCAUCCACUCAAAUUUUCACAACAUAAUACAUGUCCUCUACACAAUUUAAGAUAAUUAACCAAAGGUGUUAAUCUUCUAAACACUUAAAUUGGAGCAAAGGUUCCAGAACUCUUAUAUGUAAUUAUAAUGAGGACUUGCAAGCAAGGUUUAUGUCCAUGUUUAUGAUUAUAAAUAUCAAUAAGUCAUUUUCUUAUAGCUUGAUAAAGAGUUGUGCGAUGAACAUUUGGGUAGAAAGCAAACUAAUGAACUGUUAGAACUUAACAUAACCGUGUAGUAUCACGGACGACUAGUGGCUCAUUAAAUAGAAACAGUUAACACCUUGAGAAAAUUAACAACACUCAGAAGAAAGUUAAAUGAAAUAUAUGAUAAGCAAAAAUCAUCCUCCAAUUAAAAUUUCACACAUAAGUCUCAACAUCACAAAAAGAUGCACAUAAAAAAUUUAAGUAUUUAAUAUCUAAUACACGACUCAAAUAAAAACCAUCCUCUCAUUUUGUAAAAUAUCCAAUUAGCUCGUUCUUCAGGAGUCAUCUUCAGUAAACCAUAUUUUUUUGAUUUGGUGUCAAGCAAGUUAAAAGCCUUGAUACGAAUGUCUUCAUCUAAAUUUGGGAUCUACUUGAUAGAAUCCCAGGUAGUAUAAGCUCUCUCCCUUUCUCUUUUCUUUAGUAUGUUAUAAACUCCUUGAAAAGUGGUUGUUCGUUUUUUAAUUUCUUCCAUAACGCCAUUUUGAGGUAUAUUUUCAGUGGAGCAAGAAUUUGCUUCAUACUGAGCUCUACUUCUUUUGGCUUGACUUUUUCUUUGGUUGGGGACCUCAGACACUUAAGGGGAUCCUAAAUGGGGUGUGGAACCAAAUGCUGGAUCAUUUUGAGAUAGUCCUACAAACAUCUCAUUUUCAGCAUCAUAAGUGAAAUCUUCUAUGCGCACAUCUCUAUUGUCAUCAUCUACUAAUGUCCUUGCAUCAGUUUCACCACCCAAUCCAAUUGAGCUUUUCCCUAUAGCAACAUUGUUUCCUAUAGCAAUUUCCAAAUCCUCAUAAUCAAGAUGUUCCCCACGGCGCAAGUUCGCAUCUUUUGGGUGAGCCUAGCAAAAAUUUAAUUUUUUAAUCUAUUGUUUCACUAUAUCCUCAAAAUAAAAUAAUUUUAUAAUUCAAUAUGAUGUUUAAGAAGCUUACCUUUAGAUACUCAUCCAUACUUCAUCUGGAGCUGUAAACUUUUGGUAGUAGAGUCAUAUCCAAAACCAGAGCUAAAUCGCAAUAGGUUUGAAUAAGAUAACCAACGAUUUUUAAACCAUUUCAGGCGACUUAGGUAAUUGUUGUAAGUCUUAUUACAUCCAAGUCUUGAGUUAAGAGUAGGAAAUAUUCUUUCUUCCACCGUUGUUUUUGUUAAAAUGCCACUAUUGUCACGCCAUCCCCGAGCUGCGGCAUCAACCAUAAGUUCUAACAGUAAGUCACUUUGUUCCUUAGUCCAUAACUCAUAAUUAGAUAACUUCAUUUUCGUAUCUUGUUGUGAAUCUCCCAUGCUAAUAUUACUAUAUUAAAUAUUAACAGACACAAAUUAAAAUAAGCUUGAUAUAUAUAUAUAUAUAGAGAGAGAGAGAGUUGGGCUAAAAUAAAAAUAGUUUUUUUUGUAUAAAAUAGGAACAUAUCUCAUCCAUUGAUUCUUAGAAAUCUUAUGGCUAGAUUUCAUCCUAAAUUCCAACCUAAAUAUACACGUCCCACAUACAAGAGGAUAUUGAUGUAAAUUUAACUUCAUUUAGACGGUUACUAGGAUAUGGUUAUUUACUGACAUAUUCUUUCCAUAUCAAUCCAAAUCUUGUUUUCCUAAAUCUUAACCUAAGCGUGUAUUAUCUUUAAAGCUCCUAUGAAAUUUUUUGCAGAUUGAAAUUCUGUAGAAUAAAAACGCAGAAAAGCUGAAAUUCCUUUAAUCUUCUUGUUGCUUGAAGAUAAAUAUGGAGUUGUCGAUCCAUAUGGUCGUCAUGAGUUGCAUGAUCUAGGUUACAAUUCAGUACAAAUUGCAGUACUGUCAUUUUCAAUUCAUACAUGAUGAUGUAUUCGUUCAUGACAUACGUCCAUGAACUAAAUUAUAAUUCAUCACGAAUUUGCAUGAUUCAUACAUUUAUUUUUGUAAUUCAUACUGUUGUAACCUACAAAUUAUGAUACUAUUCAUUCACUCAUGCUUUAAACUUUGACCCCUGGUUUUACUUAUAGUAUAACACGGAUUUUUUAAGAAGUAAUAUGAUUCCAAGAAUUUAUUAUUGGAUUCAUACAUAAUAAAUUUAUAGUUCACGUCACAAGAUUAUGAACCAAACAUGUAUACAACAUGAACUGAAUUGUUGUGGUAUGAAUUAUUGUUAAUGUUUCAUAAAAAAAAAAAAAAACUAACUUUCCGACAAAGAGGGGAGAAGACAGCGUAAAAUAGAAAAGAAAAAAAAAAAAAAAAAAAAAAAACUUAACAACAAAAAAACAAAGCAAUGGGUAGAGAGAGAGAGACCUUUCUUUAGUGAAAAAAAAUGGGCUGAUUUUUUUUAAAAAAAACAUAGAGAGAUGGGCUUUAUUUUUGNUUAUACACUAAUAUAUAUUGUUAUUGUUGUUCAUAAUUCCCAGUACAUAUAAUGUACUUAAAAUACAAUAUUAUAUAUAUAUAUAUGUAUAUAUAUAUAUAUAUAUGUGUUGAAAAUUGUAGAAACAUAUGUGUCUAUCUAUUUUUUAAACAAUUAAUAUAAUACUCCACAUAAUACUCCGAUAAAAAAAUAAAAGAAAUAUAAGAAAUGAUUUAAUACGUCAAAAGUUUAAAUAAUCACAACUAUUUCAUUUUAAAUCUAGUUUAUAUAUAUAUUAGAUAUCAAAUUUAAGAUCUUAUAUGAUCUUAGACACACAUUGUAUAUUUUAUCCAAGAAGAUGAUGAAAUUGAGGUUUACGGGUGUAUUGGUUUGAGAUUCUGUUGGAUUUUUUUGGACUUUAAGAAGUUCAUAGAUUUUUGUGGGUUUAGGAAAUCCAUAGACUCUAUGGAGAGUUUGACUGACUUAUUAUUAUUUUUUUUAUUGAUUUUCAUGGAUUUCUAUCGGCUUGAUAGAAAUUAGGAAGGCAGCAACCCAACGCCGGCUGGAGCCCAGCUACCGUGCAAUUUACAAUCACAACAUGCUUGAAGAAAGUAUUAUAACAAAGAACUAUAAUAUGAAAUAAAAUAUUAUCUAUUUAUUUGUCAACAAUAAGAACAUGGAUACAGAUUUAAAACAAACACUCUUUUAAAUGAAGAGGCACAUAUUUCCGAUUUCUUUUAAUGAUUUUGUUAUUUUUAAGAAAAUCAUGUUAUUACUAUCUAAUUUCAAAUUUACUGGUUACAUAACUCUCCUGUUGUAUAUAUUUUCUAGAAAUAUUUUUUUUUCACUAAAUUUUCUCACAUAAAUAUCCAUUUUACACAUUAAUUUUCUACUAUUAUGAGUUUAAUUAUAUAAUAAAAAAUAUUCCUAAAAAUUCAUCCCGGCAAAUUUCUACAUGAAAAUCCUCAAAGCUAAUGCAUGAAAUUUAACCAAAUGAAAUAGAGAGACAGAAACCUGGCAACAUAUAUACAUCUUCAAUCUUCCAUUUCUUCUUCUCUUUCAUGCUUUCAUUAAUGCAAAAACAUGUGGUUCCAUCACAUACAAUUCAAGUUACCCGAAAAAAAGAAAUGGACUUUCAGGAUAAUCUAAAGGAACAACCUUACAAGCUGCAGGGUACAACACCCCCCAAACAAAUUUGAUUAACUAUUUGAUUAACAAUAAAUUGAUUUUGAUAACUAAAAUUUUAGAAAAUAUUUUGGAAUCUGACGAGAGGUAAAAGAAUCCAUAGAAAUCUCGUGUGAUAUGGUGAGAUUUCUCUCUUUGUAUUUUUGAAGGAGAAUCCAUCAAAAUCCAUAGAGUUUUAAAAUCCACAGACUUUUGAAUACCUAAUGAUUUUUUUAAGACUUUUUAAAAUCUAUAUUGAAUACCUCUAGAUUUUAAAGACUUUUAAAAGUCUGAAUUGAAUACCCCCAUACUUUCAAAGUCCAAAAAACUCCUACAGACUCUACAACCAAUACACCCCCCCUAAUAUAAAAUAAAAAGAAAAAUAAAAAAAUAAUAUUUUAUCUGUUGGGAACUUAAUGAAAUAUCAUAGCCCUAGUUUUGAUGAUACCAAAACUCUUAGUUUUUCUUUAAUAAACUAGAACUUUUCAAACUCAAGUGUUAGAGUUCAUAUUUUCUAGUUUAACUGUUGUCCUGAAGACUGAAGACCGGUGGAUUGAAGACUGAAGACUGAAGAUAGCAUGUGAAAAGAUCAAGUCAAAUACUGAUGUAUUUACUGGACGAGGAUCUCACUGAAAAAUCAGUUGUGACUGAUUAACUAAUGCUGGCCACGUGGAUUUAGCUGACUGAUACUCAAGUCAAAUAUCAGUUGACAUUCUUCCUCGGACUGAAUGUUUUAAGUUAAAAGGAAGCCACAUACACUCAAGUACAACCGCAUUAAAUGCUGAGAUUUUGAAGAUCGUCCUUAUUUGCAGAUCAUUCCUUUUUGGUGCUAACUUUUCAGAGGUACCUUACUUCUGUAUCUGAGACGCCGUUCUUCACAAAUUAGGAACCUCGAAGAUUGAAGCCUCAACAAAUUCAAAUCUCUCUCACAACGGACGAAUUCUUGAAGACCAUCUUGCCAACGGAUCUAUUCAAGACUUCGCCUAUAAAAAGAGCUCGAGGAACAUCACAAUCUUUACCGAUUCAAACGCACAAGCUGAAACUUUGCUGAAAUUGCAACUCAGCUUUUCACUGCCUUCAAAGUUUGAAUCGAAGAAGAGAAUACUCAAAGCCAAAAUCAGUGUACUGAUUACUUACAAUCUCUUAGUUUCUUAGGCAAAUCCUUGUAACAUUCAAAGCCUAAGUCCCCGAUUACAAAGAGUCUGUUCUCUGUAAUCUAGUUGGUAUUUCGAACCCUUUUCAAUGAGCGAAAAGAGAGAUUAUCAGUAUGUUUAACUGACCGCGGAUGUAGUAACUUGUUCCGUACCACGUAAAAAUCUUUUGUUGUUUAUCGCUUUCAGUAAUUACGUUCCUAUCUAUGCACAAACGUUUUCUUAACUGAAACUGAUUAAUUGCAAAGUGAAACUUUAUUUGACAACAUGUUAAUCACAAAGAUCAGAUUUCUUUUCCCUGCCAGCAUCUUUAGAUCAUAUUUCUUUUCCCUGUCAGCAUCUUUACAUCUACCGAGAAAUCACUUUCUUUCAAAUCUGCCCAAACCCUUCCUCUUCCCAACACUUCACUUUGCUGAUAUCUUUUCACUCUUCCCUUNUUUUUUAAAUAACCACCCCCGACCCACUAGAACAUUCUCACUCUUUUGCAUCAAAUCUGCAGUAACUUCAUCUUCCUCAUUUCACUUUCUCACUUUCACUACACAUACCUUUCAACUCAAAAAUGGCAGAAUCUUCACUAUUUUACUUCUACUUCAGGAAUUCAAGACCACAACACAUUCUGAUCAAGGUAGUAUUUUAUUCUUCUCUGUUACAAAUCCACCAACCUUCAUUUUGUCUCUUUCAUUAAAAAAUAUAGUGCUUUCAUCCUUGUUACAGCAAAACAACAAAAUACAGUCACACCAAACAAAUUCGAAACAAGGUUCGUUCUUUUUCCAUACUAUAAACCUUGCAUUUUCUUACCACUGCACUUUGAUAAAAUCUGGACUUAGAACUCAAAUUCCUAGACCACAACAAGGACUUUGGCAUGAUCUUGCUCUCUGUACUGCCUUGAACUAAUAAAAGAAAUACAAGAGAAAGAAGAAGCAAAGAAUCGAGUCUGCACCAAAACCUUCACCAAGAUUCAAUUUUUCUUCAAAAUCAUAUCUACCUUUAUGAACAAAUCUUCUUCUUCCUUUGGACUGGGUUUGAAUUGUCGAAAAGAGGGAUUUCCGUUUCCCUUUGAUGGUGGCCGGAGAGGAGGGGAUCUUCUGCCCGGUGUGAGGACGACGGCGGCACGGCGGCUUUCAAGACGCCGUUGCUCGACCGGCCGCGAGGGAGGAGGGAGAGCCGACUUGGGCAGCAGCACUGCUGUGGUGGAAUCGUCGCCUAGGUGGCUGACCACCACAUGCAGAGGGAGAAAUGACGGAGAGGGCUGGGCCGUGAGAGGAAGCGCCGGAGGUUAGCGGUGGCGCGGCCGGAGGCCAGGCGCGCUGCCCGCUGCGAAAACGGCAGCAGCGGCGGCAGUCUUCCUCGGCCGUCCGCCGCAGAGGACGCAAAGGAGGAGGGUGGCGCGAGGCGGCUGACGGCGAGUCUCGCCGGAGUGGCUGCAGCGGCGGCGGCGCGACUGGACUGGAAAGUGAGGCCGAAGGAGCGAGAAAGGGAGAGAGGCGUGAGUUAGAGAGAGAGAGAACCGAUGGGAGGGGGAGUUGAAGAGAGAGAAGCUUGUUUUAAUUAUUCCUUUAUUUUUAGGGCUUUAUUUCUUUAAAAUUUGGACUCUUAUUUUGGGCUUUACUAAUUAUUUUGGUAUGGGCUGAUUUUAUUAAAUCAAUGGGCCGAUUUUUAAUAUGAGCACUGGACCGAUUUUAAUCAUUUAAAUGGGCUUCACAAUGUUUUUAGAUUGUUUUUGGGCUGCACUAUUUAUAACAGGCCUUUAAAUUAUUAUCUUGGGCUUUAACUAUUAUCUUGAGCCUGAAAAUAGUUUAAUAAUAAAUUAUUAAUUUUUCUCCCAAUAUUAAGGUUUUAUACUAUCUUUAAAAUUAUUAAUUAUUUAUAAAUUUAGUGGUAAUUAUAUUUAUUAAAUUACUAAUUAUGUAUUAAGAAUUUAUUGAUUCACUUAUAGAGAUUUUUAUUCGGGCAAAAUGUAUCAAUAGUUAGCAAUCCCCACUUUACUUAGAAAAUUAGGAUGACACCUCGAGACCUAUUUAAGAAUAGAUUUCUUGUAGGUUCGAGUAACCAAGGGCAUUAGAGCUUCAAGCAGAGCAAGCACUGAAUCUCCACAUUGAGGUGGGUUUUAUUUUACAUACAAUGUAUCUUGAGUUAUAUAAGCUCUGAUAUUUCAGGAAAAUUAUCUGUUUAUCCAAUAUAAAUGUUUUAUGUGCGUUCUGUAAUUGUUUAAGGCUCGCUUAAGUAUCGAUCGAGAUUCUCAUUUGGCCUAACACGCUAAAUGAGGAUUGUGUACACAAGAUUAGUGGCUCGAUGGGUUGAUCGCCAUCGUGCACUAACAGAUUUAGAACGUUAUAAGGGUGGGUGCUUGACCGGAGGUUAUCCGGAGCACAGUUAAGACUAUUGAUUUUGAUCGGGUGCGUCCCGAGAUCAGUGAAUGUGGGGAGAAAGUGAGUAACAAUCGAACGUACAUGGGCGCCCUCAACAAGAAAAUAUUUUGUCAUGCUUAGAAGUGGGAUUUCGUUUAAAACCUUCUAAGUCAUGAUGGUGAUAUUGGAUAAACUGCCUUAUCAUUUCAUAAAAUAUUUCGAAAACUUGUGCCCACUGAGUACAUUAGUACUCAGCCCAAAUUAUUUCAAAUGUUUUUCAGGUUAGGCGGCUGGUGCGCACGGUGCUGAGCUGGGGAGUGUUUCAUAUUCCAACGACUAUAUACUCUUUAGCUAAUUUAGCUAUAUCUUUGAAUAACAUCUAGUCUAAAUAUGUUGAGCUCAGACUCAUUAUUCCUAGUCGCUGCUUCGUUUGAAUGUUAGAGUAUCAGAGUUGUGAAAUAAACUCUUUAGAUCCUUGGGGAUUUUCCCGUAUGAUGAACUCGUUCUAUGUCAUCAUUAUCCAUCUAUAUAAUAAGCCUUUUUAUUUAUUGUAUUUUAUUUCCCCCCUCCCCAAGCUUGGGCCGUCACAAGUGGUAUCAGAGCGUAGGUUUUCUUUCGCAUCUCUGAUAGCCACAAAUUCUUUAAGACCGAGUCUAGAAUUAUUUCCCUAGACUCCUAUACAUCACCAACACUCCCAGCUCUCCGUCACACCACCGCCUCAAGGUACGUUUCAUUUUAUAAAUUUCAAGAUGUUUGCAAAAUCUUCAAAAGUAUUUUUAGAAAUCUAUUCAAAUGAAAACGAGGCGCCCUACGAAGAAAAAGAAUCAUUCCGACAACAUUAUCUUGUAAAAGGAUACGAAUGACUCAAGCAAAUGACGUUUUGGGACAGACCGAGCCCUUGACGGAUCAGCAGGAAAUGUUUGUCGAGAUGGAUUUUCCCGAAUCCCCUCGACCUAACAAGAACGAUUACAUGUUGUGGUCUUAAGUGCCACUGCCAAUAAGGAAGGUUUCAAAAGAGUUACGAACCAAUAACCCCACAGAUUGUUGCAAUAACAUAGAAAGCUAGGAGUAUCUAUAAGAUAGUAAUAGGACCACCGAAUUAGGAUCUGCAAUUUGAGAAUCACAUAGGACGUUCGAAUAUAGAGUAUGGACCUUAGGCAUUGCUUAAGCUUCUUUUACAUUUUUAUUGAUAGUAUUUGAUAUAGAACUUAAUAUUUUCAGAUGGAACCACCCCAACCACCCCCAAGAUUCCCCGCACUUAGGGAUAUGAUCGAUCGGAUGAGGCACACUCGGGACUUGGAGGAUAGGCUCCGACGGUUUUGGCUGUGUCAAUGGGAUCCGAACGAGCCCUUUGGGGCAUUUUUAGGGCGUUUUGUGCACGCAUGGCAGUUUGCGCGGCCGGCCGGCGUCACAGACUACGAGGCCGGCCAACAGCUUAUUCGACAUUUACCCCACGGCUGGAGAAACUGGGCGGAUGAGCAGUUGGAUGAUACCUCAACCCGGCAGAUGUUCACAUCUCGUCCUCUCGGGAACUUUGCAUUGUUCAGUUCGCGGAUCUUCAACAGGUGGGCGAGUCAUGGACUUGAUCACUAAUUUCUUAGCAACAAGAAUGACUGCAACUAACACAGGUAAUUGUAGCAAGCAACAAGUAAUCGAGUAUCGUAUCCACAGGGACUGAAAAACCGAAACAACUCUAGCUAUCUCCUAAACAAACUAAAAUAGUAGACAUGCAAACGAAAAUAAGGAGGAUUGAUUAAAACUAAACGCAAAAAACGAUAAUUAAAAUCACGUAGGAAAAAUCAAAUAUAAAAGACAACUGAUUCUAGGGUAGUAAAUUCAUUAACUAAAUCUNUCUGAUAUUUCAGGAAAAUUAUAUAUUUAUCAAAUAUAAAUGUUUUAUGUGCGUUCUGUAAUUGUUUAAGGCUCGCUUAAGUAUCGAUCGAGAUUCUCAUUUGGCCUAACACGCUAAAUGAGGAUUGUGUACACAAGAUUAGUGGCUCGAUGGGUUGAUCGCCAUCGUGCACUAACAGAUUUAGAACGUUAUAAGGGUGGGUGCUUGACCGGAGGUUAUCCGGAGCACAGUUAAGACUAUUGAUUUUGAUCGGGUGCGUCCCGAGAUCAGUGAAUGUGGGGAGAAAGUGAGUAACAAUCGAACGUACAUGGGCGCCCUCAACUAGAGGAUAUUUUGUCAUGCUUAGAAGUGGGAUUUCCGUUUUAAAACCUUCUAAGUCAUGAUGGUGAUAUUGGAUAAACUGCCUUAUCAUUUCAUAAAAUAUUUCGAAAACUUGUGCCCACUGAGUACAUUAGUACUUAGCCCAAAUUAUUUUCAAAUGUUUUUCAGGUUAGGCGGCUGGUGCACACGGUGCUGAGCUGGGGUGUGUUUCAUAUCCCGACGACUAGCUACUCCUUAGCUAAUCUAGCUGAAUUCCUGAAUAACAUCUAAAUCUAAUUCUGUUGAGCUCAGACUCAUUAUUUCUAUUCCGCUGCACUGUUUGAAUGUUAAGUUAUCAGGGUUGUGAAACUAAACCUCUUUAGAUCCUUGGGGAUUUCCUCCAUAUGAUGAACUCGUUCUAUGUCAUCAUUAACCAUCUUUAUAAUAAGCCAUUUUAUUUAUCGUAUUUUAUUUCCUCUCAAGCCUGGGCUGUCACAAGUGGUAUCAGAGCCUAGGUUUUCUUUUGCAUCUCUGAUAGCCACAAAUUCUUUAAGACCGAGUCUAGAAUUAUUUUCCUAGACUCCUAUACAUCGCCAACACUCCCAGCUCUCCGUCACACCACCGCCUCAAGGUACGUUUCAUUUAGUAAAUUCAAGAUGUUUGCAAAUUUUCAAAAGUAUUUUUGAAAUUUAUUCAAAUGAAAACGAGGCGCCCUACAAAGAAAAUUUAUUUUGGGACAGACCGAGCCCUUGACGGAUCAGUAGAAAACAGUUGUCGAGAAGGGUUUUCCCGAAUCCCCUUGACCUAACAAGAACGAUUACAUGUUGUGGUCUUAAGUGCCACUACCAAUAAGGAAUGUUUCAAAAGAGUUACAAACCAAUAACCCCACAGAUUGUUGUAAUAACAUAGAAAGCCAGGAGUAUCUAUGAGAUAGAAAUAAGACCACUGAAUUAGGACUUACAAAACUUGAGAAUCACAUAGGACGUUCGAAUGUAGAGUAUGGACCUUAGGCAUUGCUUAAGCCUCUUUUACAUUUUUAUUUAUAGUAUCUGAUAUAGAACUUAAUAUUUUCAGAUGGAACCACCCCAACCACCCCCAAGAUUCCCCGCACUUAGGGAUAUGAUCGAUCAGAUGAGGCACACUUGGGACUUGGAAGAUAGGCUCCGACGGUUUUGGCUGUGUCAAUGGGACCCGGACGAGCCCUUUGGGGCAUUUUUGGGGCGAUUCGUGCACGCUUGGCAGUUUGUGCGGACGAUCGGCGUCACAGACUACGAGGCCGGUCAGCAGCUGAUUCGACAUUUGCCUUUCGGCUGGAGAGACUGGGCGGAUGAGCAGUUGGAUGAUACCUCGACACGACAGCUGUUCACGUCCCGACCCCUCGGGAACUUUGUAUUGUUCAGCUCGCGGAUCUUCAACAGGUGGGCGAGUCAUGGACUUGAUCACUAAUUUCUUAGCAACAAGAAUGACUGCAACUAACACAGGUAAUUGUAGCAAGCAACAAGUAAUCGAGUAUCGUAUCCACAGGGACUGAAAAACCGAAACAACUCUAGCUAUCUCCUAAACAAACUAAAAUAGUAGACAUGCAAACGAAAAUAAGGAGGAUUGAUUAAAACUAAACGCAAAAAACGAUAAUUAAAAUCACGUAGGAAAAAUCAAAUAUAAAAGACAACUGAUUCUAGGGUAGUAAAUUCAUUAACUAAAUCUAUGUAAUUAAUCUAUUAAUCCUAUGUACCAAUUUAAUCCAGUUAUGAUGAGAGAUCACUUAAUUAAUCAAUUACUCUCGCUAGAGCAGCAACGAUCGUAGAUUAGUAAAUUCUCUAUCUCCGUUAGGUCUCAAGAAAAUCUACUAACUCCCAAUAGCUCCUAAGAAUAGCUCCCUAUGAUCCACCUAUCUCCGCUAGGUCUCAAGGUUAAAAUCAUAUCAUACAUUCCUGAAUCCGCUAAACAGUUAUCUCCGCUAGGUCUCAAACCGAAUAGCUAAACAUGCAAACUAUUGAUCAGAUAAUUCACAAGAAAUUAAGCACCAGGAAUUAUGAAUCAUAAACUGGAAGGCACAAAGGUAUUAACAAAUAAAUCACAUAAAUUCAAUCAACUAUUUACAAACCCUAGAAUCAGCUAAAGGAAACUAGCUAGACAUAGUAAAAUAAAACAUAAACAUAAUUAAAAAGAACGCAAUUGUAAAAAUGAAUUGUAUAAAAACUGAAUGAAAACUGAAGUAGCGACUUGAAUCUUCAAUCUUGAUCCAAGCCUUGAAAACUGGAAAAACAAUAAAAUUCUAAAGAUAAAAAACUAAAGUAUGAAUGCUAAGAUUCGGGGGGUUGCAGGUGUACGUCAAUAGGUCAAAAGAGGACCUAUUUAUAGAUUUCAGAUUUCCUUCGAUCACCAUGAAAGUUGCCAUGCAAAGUAGAAUUCUAAAGGUAAUAGAAUCGUGUAAAAUAAGGCAACUCUCCAGCUGGAUGCGCGCUCCGGAAAAUACUCCCACUCUUACCGAAUUCGCAGCUCUCGCCAGAGGAAUGGAUGUCACCGGGAACGGGUCGCACCAGUGGAAUGAUGAUUCUCUGACCUCGCCAGAGAAUAGUCGCCAGCGGAAUGGGAUUUCUCUGCUAUCGCCAGAGGAACGGUGAUUUCUCUAGCUUUCGAUUCCGUGUAAUGGCUCGAUUCCGCUGUAAUGGACUUUUCUCCCAUCUGCUCUGACUUAUUUCUCUGCUCUGACUCUUGACUCCUCUGGUGAUGACUUCGCUACACUGGCUUCUUGAUUUUGCUGACUCCAGAGAAAUGGUGAUUUCUCUGACUCCAGAGAAAUGGUGAUUUCUCUGCUCUGGAGACCAGAACACCUAGAAAACGCCAAAUUCAUCCAAAAUUCUCCAAAAUUGCAUUCUUCCGUCUCGAAAGCCUAAAUCUCCUGCAAAGCAUAAAAUACACAAUAAAACGCACCAAUUUCCAGAAGAUUAUCUUAAAAUACGCACAUACAAACCCUUAAAAAUAGAGUAAAUUAAGCAUAAAUCAGGACUCACUGCCCCCUUACCUACAGUAGCACCAGUGGAGAUGCCCCCACCACAAUACCACCAUUUUCCCCCGAACCAACCGGCGAGUGCAUCAGCCUCUUUUUCGCCUUAUCCCAUGAAUGGGGAUGAGUAUGAGGACAGCCCACCUAGGGGCCCAGUAGUCGAUGCACUGGCACCCCCACUAGUACCUCCACCGCAGGAGCCAGCCAAUGAGCCCGAGGUACCUAGGAGGCACCGCAUCCGUCUAGAGAAUUACGGGCAGCCCUUUGCCCUACCAGAGGAGGACAUGAUGGGGCUAGAGAUUAUGCUAGAAGACCCACCUGCUCCCCCAGCCCUCCCAGCGCUAGCAGAUGACGACAUUCCCAUCGUAUAUGUAGAGGAGGAGGAGGAGGAUCCCGAGGAGGAUUCCGAGGAGGAUCCAGGGGAGGACCCCGCAGGCUUUCAGGAUUGGGAGGAUGAGGACUCGGCAGUGUUGGGAGACGGCUCCGUCACUGACUCAUCCUAGCGGAUGCCACCAUAACUUUCUUUUGACAAUUAGCAUAGGUUUCAGAAUUUGAAUUGUUUUGAUUGGGAGCCGGGAGUAGAUAGCCCGAGCUGUGUCCGAACACCACUUAUCCGGAUGUUUUGGUUUUGAUGAUGAAUGCUCAGACAUAUGUCUCUAAUGUUAUUAAUGGUUAUUGAUUUAUUUUGGUACUUGAGUGGACUCUUUAUCUCGUUAGUGAAUGUGCGUAUUUAUUUAUCUAACUGGUUUUGCUUUCUGUUAAUCGAUGAAAACACGCACUAUAUAAUGGAAAACUACGAUUAUGAAUUAGAGGCUGAGAUCCCAGAGAAAGAUCCCCUCAUUGGUGGACGUGGACGUGGACGUGGUCGUGGUCGUGGUCGUGGUCGUGGACGGUGAUUUAUGCUUAAAUUACUCUAUUUUUAAGGGUUUGUUUGUGCGUGUUUUAAGAUAAUCUUCUGGAAAUUGGUGCGUUUUAUGGUGUAUUUUAUGCUUUGCAGGAGAUUUAGGCUUUCGAGAUGGAAGAAUGCAAUUUUGGAGAAUUUUGGAUGAAUUUGGCGUUUUCUAGGUGUUCUGGUCUCCAGAGCAGAGGAACCGACAUCUCCAGAGCAGAGAAGCGCCAGCACCAGAGAAGUAAAGCCCAGCGCUCAAUAGUCAGAGAAGUGAGAAGUCAGAGAAAUCAAGCUCCAUAGUAACGAAGUCAUCACCAGAGGAGUCAAUAGGCAGAGCAGAGAAAUAGCCAUUUCUCUGGAUGCAGAGCAGAGAAAUAAGACAGAGCAGAGAAAUCAUCCAUUUCUCUGGCGAUAGUCAUUUCUCUAGCGCGACCCGUUCCUCUGGCGAUAACCAUUUCUCUGGCGAGGUCCGUUUCUCUGACGACAGCCGUUCCUCUGGCGAGAGCUGCGAUUUCGGCAAGAGUAGGAGUAUUUUCCAGAGCGCGCAUCCAGCUGGAGAGUUGCCUUAUUUUACACGAUUCUAUUACCUUUAGAAUUCUACUUUGCAUGGCAACUUCCAUGGUGAUCGAAGGAAAUCUGAAAACUAUAAAUAGGUCCUCUUUUGACCUAUUCGAGAGAUCCCUGAAAAUUCCUAUUUCAGUUUUAUAGCUUUAGAAUAUUUUAGCUUUCCAGUUUUCAAGGCUUGGAUCAAGAUUGAAGAUUCAAGCCGCUACAAUCGUUUUCAUUCGGUUUUUAUACAAUUUGUUUUUAUAAUUGCGUUAAAUUUAAUUAUGUUUAUGUUUGAUUUUAUCAUGUCUGGCUAGUUCUUUUAUUCUGAACCUAGGGUUUGUACAUAGCUGAUUAAUUAUGUGUUUUUGAUUUAUUGAUAUCAAUUUGCCCUCCAACUUGUGAUUCAUGAUUCCUGGUGCUUAUUUUCUUGUGAAUUAUCUGAUCAAUGAUUUACAUGUUUAGCUGUUCAGUUUGAGUCUUGAAUGUGAUAAUUGUUCAGCCGAUUCAGGAAUGCAUGAUAUAGUGUUAGCCUUGAGUCUUGAAUGCGAUAGGUGAAGCUAUAGGAAGCUAUUCUUUAUGUGCUAUUUGGAGUUAAUUUAUUCCUUGGAGUCUUAAAUGCGAAAAGGGGUUAAUUAAUCUACGUUCAUAGGUGUUCGUUAGAGAAGCUUGUGAAUAAUAUAGUGAUCUUUCAUCAGGGUUGGAUUAAAAUUGGUAAUUGAAUCAAUAGGUUGAAUGCAUGUAGUUGAUUAGUAAGAGUACAUCCCUAGGGUCAGAGUUUUCCUUACAUUUGAGUUAGUAUCGUUAUUUAUAUGCUCUUCAGUUUUUAUUUAGUUAAUCUUAGUUCGUAAUUCACCUUCAUUAUUGUUUUACCUGUUUACUGUUAGAGUUUGUUUAGGAAAUAGAUAGUGCAAUUUCGUUAUACAGUCUCUGUAGAUACGAUACUCUGCUUGUUAUUUGCGUACUACAAUUACACUGUUUAGUUGCAGUUAUUGUUGCUAUAAAAAUAGUGAUCAGACGGGGACGUGGGCGCGGCAGGGGACGCGGAGGCCAAGGCCAAGGAGGAGGAUAUGACUAUGAAAACUUUGUACCUCCAGUAAUUCCUGACCGCACUGCUGCCGAAAAAUUUAGGAAGGAGAAACCCCCGACUUCCGACGGAAUGGGUGGACCCAAAGACGCUGAAAGAUGGAUAAGGGCGGUGGAAUGAAUCUUUCAAUACAUAAACUGUGAGGAAAACGAAAAGGUUAAGUGCGCCACGUCCCAACUCGUGGACGAAGCAGACUUUUGGUGGGAGUUGGUGAGGAACACCAUGACUGAGGAACAACUAGGAGAGCUAACUUGGGCCGAGUUCAAAACCAAACUGUUCGAGAAGUAUAUACAAGAAUGCUACCGUCAAAGGAAGCAAAAUGAAUUUUGGAAUCUAAGGGGGGUGUAUUCGUUGUGGAUUUCCACAGACUUUAAAAGUCCAUGAAAUUUAAAUUCCAUGGAAUUCACAUAGAUUACAGACGACUUUCAAAGAAUUCGUGAUUGGAUUUCACCCCGAUUUUCACUGAUUUUCGAAGACUUUACGAGAUAAUUUUGGAAUUGAAUUCCAUGAAACCAGCGCCCACGGAGAACCAGCGCCCGCUAGAAGAGACCCAGUGCCAACGGAGUCCCAGCACCCGCUGGAAACCCAGCGACCGCUGAGUUCCAGCGAGCGCUGGAAACCCAUGUAAAGAUUUGAUGUCUUACAACACUCUGUUGAAUGGCUAUGAGGGGAAUGUUUAUGUUUGUAAUGGAUUGAUUGACAUGGUUGCAGGGAGCUCUUCGACGGGUUGCAGGGAGAUUCUUUGAGGAAAACGGGUUGCUUUGAGGAAAUUCUUUGAAAGGUGAUGUUCUUGGAGAAGAAGAAAAAUCUGUGAGGCGGUGUAGGGGUUUUUGCGGGGUUGAGGAAUGGAGCGGCGGAGAGGGAAGAAAUGGGAAUUUUAGUGGGAAUUGACAUGAGUUUACGAUUGAAGAGUGAAAUUUGAGAGAGAGAGAGGGUUGGUGGAUGAUGGAGAGACGAGAGUUUAUGGAUGAUUAAAUACUUUUCAUUUUGUUACUCAUCGCCACAAAAUCAAAAUUACUCAUCAUCUCAUGUUUUAAUUGGGUACGGAACUUACACCCCCCGUAUGCAAAGUGUGGAUUGGCGGAAUGUGCAAUUCGAUUGUUUGAGGGCAUGGUUAAGAAGGAUAUCAUAACAUGGAACAUGAUCAUAAAUGCCUUAGUUGUCCACGGCAAUGGAGGCGAAGCUCUGAGCAUUUUCAACAAGAUGAAAAAUGGUGGAGAGAAACCAGAUGGGAUCACUUUCAUUGGAAUACUGUGUGCUUGUUCUCAACGAUUGCUGAGUUCCAGCGCUCGCUGGCUUCUUGGCCGCGGGCGCUGGAACUUAGCGCUCGCUUAAAACUUCAUGGAUUUCAAUUCUCGUGGUUCUUGGCCGAAUUUCGUCAUGUGUAUUUUUUGGAUGAAAUCCAUGAAAGUCAUUUCGGAUUUUAAGUCAAUGGAAUAACGAAUACACCUAGAUUUGUAUGGAUUUUAAAAGUCUUGAACGAAUACACCCAGAUUUUUGCAGACUUUUAAAAGUCUUGAACGAAUACACCCAGACUUUUAAAAUCCAUAGAAUUCCAUCAAAUUCCACAACGAAUACACCCCCCUAAAGCAAAGAAGCAUGACCGUGGUUGAGUAUGAAUGGGCUUUCAACCAGUUGUCCCGUUAUGCUCCACAUCUGGUGGACACAGACGAAAAACGGACAGAAAAAUUUCGCAAUGGCUUGCGCCAUGAAAUUGCAAUCGUCCUCGCAAGCCAAGGAGGCCUCAUCUAUGCCCAAACCCUAAACAUGGCACUCACCAUCGAAUCACUAUUACCUAAGGAGAAAGCAAAGGCCCCUGCCCAGUUUGCUCACCCACCACAACCUGGUCAAGCAUCACACUCGGACAUGGGAAAAGGAAAAAUGAAAUGGGACGAGGGAAGAAACUACGAACAAGGGAAGAGGCCAUGGACGGGAAACCAAGGACAAAACUACAAUCAACAACAGCAAGCUCCACAAAGGCGGCCAUGCCCAAGGUGUAACAAAGUUCACCAAGGAGAAUGCCUAAGGAGAAUGAUCGUCUGUUUCAAUUGUGGUAAGCAAGGGCAUUAUGCCAACACCUGCCCCAAAAGGAAUCGAGGAACCCCACAGCAGUAUAACCCUGGUUACCAGCAGAGGAACUUUGGGAAUCCCCCAAGAAACCCGGGGAACAAGAAACGGAACCCGGCCAACCAACCAAGACAAAAUCAAGGUCCGGGAGGCAACCAGAGACCGCCACAGAAUGCUAGGGCCUAUGCCCUCAACCAGCAGCAGGAAGCACAGAGCCAGGGGAAUCUUGCAGGUAUGAUAAAUGUACUCGCAACACCUAUUAUAGCUUUGUUUGAUACGAGAGCAUCCCACUCUUUUAUUGCACAUGCUACCUGCGAAAUGCUGAAUUUGACCCCGGAGUUAACUCAAGAAUCAUUGGAAAUUAACGUCCCGGGAGGUGGAAAAAUGACAACUAGGCAUGUCAUUUUGAACCUAGAACUGAACAUAGGCGUUGACACACUUAGGGCCAACCUGUAUGUUAUCUCCAUGAUAGAGUUAGACAUAAUCUUAGGAAUGGACUGGCUCACAAGGACCGAUGCCACAAUCCGCUGUGACGAAAGAAAAAUCUCAUUUCAUACUCCGGGAGGCGGUGACGCAAAUUUCCAUGGAAUCAGGAUGGGAGCCAAAGUUCCAAUAAUCUCCGCCAUGAAGGCCACCAGGAUGUUAAGAAAGGGGAAUUAUCAGGCGUACCUAGUUCACCUGAUGGGGCAACUCGAACAAAAAGGGACGAUCGAUGAAGUUCCAACUGUUAGAAAUUUCCCGGAAGUCUUUCCUGAAGAUUUACCUGGCCUGCCAGCAUCUUUAGAUCAUAUUUCUUUUCCCUGUCAGCAUCUUUACAUCUACCGAGAAAUCACUUUCUUUCAAAUCUGCCCAAACCCUUCCUCUUCCCAACACUUCACUUUGCUGAUAUCUUUUCACUCUUCCAUUUUUUUUUAAAUAACCACCCCCGACCCACUAGAACAUUCUCACUCUUUUGCAUCAAAUCUGCAGUAACUUCAUCUUCCUCAUUUCACUUUCUCACUUUCACUACACAUACUUUUCAACUCAAAAAAGGCAGAAGCUUCACUAUUUUACUUCUACUUCAGGAAUUCAAGACCACAACACAUUCUGAUCAAGGUAGUAUUUUAUUCUUCUCUAUCACAAAUCCACCAACCUUCUUUUUGUCUCAUUCAUUAAAUUAUAUAGUGUUUUCAUCCUUGUUACAGCAAAACAACAAAAUACAGUCACACCAAACAAAUCCGAAACAAGGUUCGUUCCUUCUCUAUUCUAUAAACCUUGCAUUUCGUACCACUACACUUUGAUAAAAUCUGGACUUAGAACUCAAACCCCUAGACCACAACAAGGACUUUGGCAUGAUCUUGCUCUCUGUACUGCCUUGUAUUAAUAAAAGAAAUACAAGAGAAAGAAGAAGCAAAGAAAUCGAGUCAGCACCAAAACCUUCACCAAGAUUUAAUUUUUCUUCAAAAUCAUAUCUUUCUUUAAGAACAAAUCUUCUUCUUCCUUUGGUAAUGACCGGAGAAAAUGGGGGAGGGUCUUCUGCCCGGUGUGAGGACGGCGGCGGCACGGCGACUUUCAAGACGCCGUUGCUCGACCGGCCGCGAGGGAGAAGUGAGAGCCGGCUGGGCAGCAGCGCUGCUGUGGUGGAAUCGUCGCCUAGGUGGCUGACCACCACAUGCAGAGGGAGAAAUGACGGAAGCGCCGGUGGUUGGCGGUGGCGCGGCCGGAGGCCAGGCGCGCUGCCCGCUGCAAAAGCGGCAGCAGCGGCGGCGGUCUUCCUCGGCCGUCCGCCGCAGAGGACGCAAAGGAGGAGGGUGGCGCGAGGCGGCUGACGGCGAGUCUCGCCGGAGUGGCUGCAGGCGACGGCGGCGGCGACGAAUCUGGGAGGAAGAGAAGUGGUGGUUCUGGAAGAGAGAGAGAAGAGAGUUUUUGAGUGAGGGGAGAGAGGGGACAACCGAGAGGGAGGUGUUUCCGGCGAGGAUUUCNAUCUAUAUAAUAUAUAAAAGAAGAGUUUUCGCUUCAUUUUUUUCCUCCAUCUCCCUCAAUUUUCCAUAAUUUUUUAUUAUACUUUCUCUUUAUAAUUUUAAUUCUAUUCUAAACAUUGUCAAAUUUAAUUUAUAAAAAAAUAUUCAAUGUGCAUCUAAAGCUUAAGUUCGUCAGAAGAUCUUUAAUGAUAUAAAAAAUUAUAAAAAAUAGAAUAGAAAAUUAAAAUAUUUUAUUUCUUUCUCUUUGUUAAAAUUUUACAACUUUUUAUUUAUGUUUGUGUAUGGAAAUAUUUAUUUAUUAUUAUUAUUAUUAUGUGAAAUACUCUAUAAUAAUAAUAAUAAUAAUAAUAAUAAUAAUAAUAAUAAUAAUAAUAAUAAUAAUGUGUAAUAUUAAUUUUUAUUAUAAAAUAAUUUAAUAACUAUCUGGUAAUCGGUCCGAUUUACCGAAACCGGAUAAGCCCCAUUCUUAUAAUCGGUAACCGAACCGGUUAAUCGAAUAACCGGUCCGGUCCGUAUUAACCUGUGAAUAAUUCAAUUUCUAAAUUUCUUCGAAUUAAUCGGUUAAAUUUAAAAAAAUUCGAAUUUUAUUGGAUGUGAGCAAUAGGAUUUAAACUCUUGACCUUUUGGAAGAAAGGAUGGAGUCUUAUUCACUCCACCAACUCAUGACUUAUGAUUAUUUAGUUUAAAAAAAACUUUUAUAGAGACUUAUAAUUUUAUAAAAUAAAAAUAAAAAUAUUAAAAAUAUAAAUUAAUUAAUUAAUUUAAUAUAAAAUAAACCGGUUAAUCGGUUUAACUGGUUAACCGACCGGUUAAACCGAUUAACCGGUUAGUGAUGAACACACUAACCGAUAACCGAACCAAACCGAUAAAAACCGGUUAUCGGUUAACCGAAAAUCGGUUUUUCGAUUCGAUUAUGGUAAAAUCGGAUAACCGGAACCGGUUUACCAGCCCUAAUAAUUAUCAUUACACUUUAUACAUAAUUAAAAAUUACGUUUUUUAAAUUCAAAAUUUUAUUGAGUAAUUAGUAUUUUAUUUUUAAACCGGAGUAUUUUGUUUCUGUUUAAUAUUUAUAUUUAUUUAUUUAAACAUAUCAUUUAAUUUCGAUUUCGCCGUGCAUCGCACGGAUGGUCGUCCUAGUUCAAAUUAUAUCUCAAUCAUGAAGAUGUAGAAAUUGACAAUUUACGAUUUCAUGGAGAAAUUCACAUAAAAUUAAAGGAAAAUUGCCACAGAAAUCAUAAAGAAAUAUAUACUAAAUUGAUCGGAUAAGAAAAAUUUAUACAUACCUCCAACAUAUUAUUUUUUUCGUUUUCAUUAUUCUCCAUUAAAUUUUUCAUCUUAGAAGGCAAAAUACAAGUUGAAGAUGAUGUUGAAGUUUGUUCUUCUUCUUCGUGCGUCAAUGCGGCGUUUCUUUUCAGAAUAAAUCACGCUCAAGAGUUGGGGGCUGUAUUUUAUCAACAAAAAAAAAGUUGAGGGCUAUAUUGAUGGAAUUAUUAGGUUUAUUUAUGAUGGGGGUUAUAGAUUUAUGAUGGGACUUGGGAGUUAUAGAUUAUCUGCUAAGACUAAGAGAUUGUACGUAAUAUUUUUUUAAAUUAAUUUUUAUGAAUUUAUUACUUUAUUACAAAUUUUAAAUGGGGGCUAUAAGGACAUAAUAGUACAAUCAUAAUUAAUUUUAUUAUUUACUUAAAUAAGGGGCUAUAGAGAGAAAAUUGGGGGCUGUGUUUAAAAUUACCCGCCUGAAAAUAGUUUAAUAAUAAGUUAUUAAUUUUUCUCCCAAUAUUAAGGUUUAUAUUAUCUUUAAAAUUAUUAAUUAUUUAUAAAUUUAGCGGUAAUUAUAUUUAUUAAAUUACUAAUUAUGUAUUAAGAAUUUAUUGAUUCACUUAUAGAGUUCGGGCAAAAUGUAUCAAUAGUUAGCAAUCCCCACUUUACUUAGAAAAUUAGGAUGACACCUCGAGACCUAUUUAAGAAUAGAUUUCUUGUAGGUUCGAGUAACCAAGGGCAUUAGAGCUUCAAGCAGAACAAGCACUGAAUCUCCACAUCGAGGUCGGUUUUAUUUUACAUACAAUGUAUCUUGAGUUAUAUAAGCUCUGAUAUUUCAUGAAAAUUAUCUGUUUAUCCAAUAUAAAUGUUUUUAUGUGCGUUCUGUAAUUGUUUAAGGCUCGCUUAAGUAUCGAUCGAGAUUCUCAUUUGGCCUAACACGCUAAAUGAGGAUUGUGUACACAAGGUUAGUGGCUCGAUGGGUUGAUCGCCAUCGUGCACUAACAGAUUUAGAACGUUAUAAGGGUGGGUGCUUGACAGGAGGUUAUCCGGAGCACAGUUAAGACUAUUGAUUCUGACCGGGUGCGUCCCGAGAUCAAUAACAGAUUUUGGAUCUGACUGGGUGCGUCCCGAGAUCAGUGAAUGUGGGGAGAAAGUGAGUAACAAUCGAACGUACAUGGGCGCCCUCAACAAGAAAAUAUUUUUGUCAUGCUUAGAAGUGGGAUUCCGUUUUAAAACCUUCUAAGUCAUGAUUGUGAUAUUGGAUAAACUGCCUUAUCAUUUCAUAAAAUAUUUCGAAAACUUGUGCCCACUGAGUACAUUAGUACUCAGCCCAAAUUAUUUCAAAUGUUUUUCAGGUUAGGCGGCUGGUGCGCACGGUGCUGAGCUGGGGAGUGUUUCAUAUUCCAACGACUAUCUACUCUUUAGCUAAUUUAGCUACAUCUUUGAAUAACAUCUAGUCUAAAUAUGUUGAGCUCAGACUCAUUACUUCUAGCCCGCUGCUUCGUUUGAAUGUUAGAGUAUCAGAGUUGUGAAACUAAACCUCUUUAGAUCCUUGGGGAUUUUUCUCCGUAUGAUGAACUCGUUCUAUGUCAUCAUUAACCAUCUAUAUUAUAAGCCUUUUUUUAUUGUAUUUUAUUUCCCCAAGUGUGGGCUGUCACAAUACACACACACGUAUAUAAUCCUAUUACACAACAUAACAAACCUGUCAGAUAUGAUGGUAUGAAUUUGAAGCUAAUUUUCAAGAAAUUCUUGGGAUAAGACUCCCAAAUUUCUUUGUGUUUAAUUGUUGGACUAAUAAUGCAAAAGCAAAAUGCAGCUUUGUCAACACUGCAGCAGAUGAAAUCAAUGAAUCAAAAAAUCAAAAUCUCUUAUGCAAUCAUUACCAUGAUGGAUUAGAAACCUCAAAAAAAUACAAGAAUCUUAUGUUUUGAGGGAUUUUCACUAACUAAACCUCAAAAUCAUUAAUAAAGAAGCCAAUAAACUGUUUAUCUUUCAUGAAUAAAUAUAAAACCUCAAAAUCAUUAAUGUAGUAGCCAAUAGACUGUUUAUCUUUCAUGAAUAAAUAUAAAAGAGCAAAGAAAGAGAUAUGUCACCAACCACUAAAAAAACUGUUUUUAGAUUAGUUGCACAACUCGAGCAACUCAAACUUCUCCACUUUACACUAACAUUCGAGAUUUUGGAAAUCAAGAAAAGAAAACCGUGGCCCACGAAGUAAAUUCAUUUGUGUGUAUGUAAAAGAGAUGAGAAUGUUACUUUGAAGAAAAAUGAUGUGAUGACGUAGGAUGAAAUCUCUAACCAAUCUUGACUAGAGUGCAGCAAUUUCGAUAUCUACCAAUCAUAUAUAUCUGCCAGAGUUUGUUAUGUUGUGUAAAUAGGAUCAUCCAUUUGACAUUUAUGCAUAUGAAAUAAGUUCUAAAAUAUUUUAUAUUAUUACAACAUGAUCAAGCCAAUCCCAAAAAUCAUAGAAUCAAGUCAUGGUGAAGAAUCAGAACCUGCUUCCUUAGAUACUACUUACUGCAUAUACUAUCAUACAUGCGUAUAAAUAUAUUUUUAUAUUGACAUCAAAAGCAAAAUAUAUUGCACCAUAUAGACAAUCCCAACCAUAUCGACAAAACCAAAGCAAGAUUAUAUUCAUAGGACCUCCUUAUUCCCACUAAACUCAAAACUACUAUGGAAGCAACAUACAACAGCAAAUGCACACCAAAUCCAAACCCCGCUAUAUGUACCUUUGUUAUCAGUGGACAAGAGAAAAUUGAGGGUGUGGUCACUUCGUAUUGUUUCGGUGCUGAUGUUUCGUCUUCUUCUGUGACCGAGGCAAUAUGUCAAAAUCUUUUGGGGAGAGAAGAGAUUUCUGCAAGGAUUUUUUAUUUAUACUAGGGCAUUUAAAAUCCUAAGAAGUCUAUCAAUAAUUAGAAUCCUUAGAAGUCAAUGAAAUUUUCAAUAUCACUAGAUUUGGAUUGAAUCUUAAAAGUCCUAAUUGAAUACCACAAGA